GAUGAACGCUAGCUACAGGCUUAACACAUGCAAGUCGCAGGGUAACAUGAGGAAAGCUUGCUUUCCUUGAUGACGACUGGCGCACGGGUGAGUAACGCGUAUCCAACCUUCCCAUAACUACGGGAUAACCCGUUGAAAGACGGCCUAAUACCGUAUGAUAUCGUUUGCUGACAUCAAAUAACGAUUAAAGGUUUAGCGGUUAUGGAUGGGGAUGCGUCUGAUUAGCUUGUUGGCGGGGUAACGGCCCACCAAGGCUACGAUCAGUAGGGGUUCUGAGAGGAAGGUCCCCCACAUUGGAACUGAGACACGGUCCAAACUCCUACGGGAGGCAGCAGUGAGGAAUAUUGGUCAAUGGGCGAGAGCCUGAACCAGCCAAGUAGCGUGCAGGAUGACGGCCCUAUGGGUUGUAAACUGCUUUUAUGUGGGGAUAAAGUG
rnacentral:rRNA from 1 species